rnacentral:rRNA from 1 species
UACGGGAGGCAGCAGUGGGGAAUAUUGCACAAUGGGCGCAAGCCUGAUGCAGCCAUGCCGCGUGUAUGAAGAAGGCCUUCGGGUUGUUAAAGUACUUUCAGUCGUGAGGAAGGUGUUAAGGUUAAUAACCUUAGCAAUUGACGUUAAGCGACAGAAGAAGCACCGGCUAACUCCGUGCCAGCAGCCGCGGUAAUACGGAGGGUGCGAGCGUUAAUCGGAAUUACUGGGCGUAAAGGGCACGCAGGCGGUUAAUUAAGUUGGAUGUGAAAUCCCCGGGCUUAACCUGGGAAUGGCAUUCAAGACUGGUUAGCUAGAGUCUUGUAGAGGGGGUAGAAUUCCAUGUGUAGCGGUGAAAUGCGUAGAGAUGUGGAGGAAUACCGGUGGCGAAGGCGGCCCCCUGGACAAAGACUGACGCUCAUGUGCGAAAGCGUGGGGAGGCAAACAGGGAUUAGAUACC